GAUGAACGCUGGCGGCGUGCCUAAUACAUGCAAGUCGAGCGAACAGACGAGGAGCUUGCUCCUCUGACGUUAGCGGCGGACGGGUGAGUAACACGUGGAUAACCUACCUAUAAGACUGGGAUAACUUCGGGAAACCGGAGCUAAUACCGGAUAAUAUAUUGAACCGCAUGGUUCAAUAGUGAAAGACGGUUUUGCUGUCACUUAUAGAUGGAUCCGCGCCGCAUUAGCUAGUUGGUAAGGUAACGGCUUACCAAGGCAACGAUGCGUAGCCGACCUGAGAGGGAGGACGGCCCCAAUGGAACUGAGACACGGUCCAGACUCCUACGGGAGGCAGCAGUAGGGAAUCUUCCGCAAUGGGCGAAAGCCUGACGGAACAACGCCGCGUGAGUGAUGAAGGUCUUCGGAUCGUAAAACUCUGUUAUUAGGGAAAAACAAAUGUGUAAGUAACUAUGCACGUCUUGACGGUACCUAAUCAGAAAGCCACGGCUAACUACGUG
rnacentral:rRNA from 1 species